UUGGCCACCCAGCUGAUCGAGUUGGGUGUCCAAAUAGGCGCCAUUUACAAUGCAUUGGAGUAUUUUUCUAUUUGUCUGGUUAUAUUUUCGUCGUGUUUUUAAAGAGAUCUUUACGGAUGGGUCUAUGGCCUUUAAAAUAGUUGUUGGAUGGGUCUAUCAGCUUUAAUAGUUGGGAGGGGGGCCAUGUGAGGUUAUUAUUUGAUGUGUUUUGCCGGUUAUGCUUUUUACACGUUUAUGAAAGUAAAGAAUUUAGAAUUUGGCCUGUAUUCCUGUAAAUUUUUUGCAGUUUUUACUGUGAGGAACAGUGUUUUUUUAUUUGUGUUUGUGGAUUUGUUUUGGUAUUAUACCUAAAGACCUUAAAAUGUUUCGACCCUGGAAAAAUAGGCAGGAAAAUUUGGCAAAUGAAGAGGAAAGUGUUUGUGCGGGCUUAUGGAGACCGUGGGUGUACAAGAAAGACAAUAACAUUUGUGAUAAAAACAAUAAGAGUGAUCUGGGCAGUGAUUUAGACUUACAUAGUUCUGAUAGUUCAUUUUGUAGUAUUGAGGAAGCAAAAAGAAGCAAGGGAAGUACAAGCUACAUAGGAAAUCAAGCAGUUUUAAAAGAACAAAUUUAUCUAAAUAUCUAUAACAAUCUAAGAAAUGAUACUCAGUUCACAAAUGAUUGUAGUGCUUUGCAAAAAAUAGCGUUUUUAACAGGGGUUCCCUAUAGUACAAUAUGCCUGUAAAAAAAAGGAUUAAAGGCAGAAUAAAAAGGAAAGAUGCAGGACAAUCAAAGGGACUUGACAUGAAUAUUGCCAAAUUGCUAAGGAAAGGUGUGUAUUCUAAAUACAAAAACAAUGAGGUUCUGACCAUAUAGACACCUUAUCGGCAAGGGACAAACAUUUCUCAGUCUCAACCUUGCGGAGAUACCUGAUAAAACUUGGAUUUAAGCUUAAGAUGGUUAACAAAAGAGCUGCUGUAAUGGUAAUAUAAAACUGUAAUAUUGUCAGGUGGUGUAUAGAAUAUUUGAGGAAAAUUAAAAAAAUUUGGGAGGAAGAAAGAUCCAUAUAUUAUUUAGCCGAAACAUGAUAUGAUACAUUUAUGAUUGAUGUAUGAUUUCCAUUCUCUGGGAAAAAAAUCCCUUUUUUGCCAUACUUACUGCCCCUGUUGUCCUUCAGUGAUACAAUAAAGACUGCUUCUUCCACCAUUCUCUGGGAAAAACCCUUUUUUGCUAUGCUUACUACCCCUGUUGUCCUUCAGUAACACAAUGAAGACUGCUUCUUCCUCCAUUCUCUGGAAAAAAGUCCCUUUUUUGCCAUACUUACUGCCUCUGUUUGUCCUUCAGCGACACAAUAAAUUAUAUAUAAUGUAAUGCUUUAGAAUCCAUAUGCUGAUGUGCGAGAUGAAGUUGGAAUCCAUGGCGGCAACAGAGAAACUGUUUCUUUCCUUAAUGGAAGAAACUGCUAAAGAACAAUGGCAAAAAAACAGAAUUUACAAAAUUUGUAUUAACUUUUUGGGCCAGAUUCAAACGAGUGGUUAAAUUUAUAAAAGUAUUUAGUAUCCUCACUGUAGUGUUAGGAUCCAGUAUACUUAAAAUGUAGUGUUUUGUAUAAGAUUUGUAGUUUUUAGUAUAAGCAUUUAUUUUUGUUAAUUUUUAUCUAAUCUCUCCUAAUAUGCAUAAUAACUAAAUACGAGGCAAACAAAUUAAUAAAUACGUUCAGGAUGUAAA